rnacentral:rRNA from 1 species
AUGGGAAAUGCCAGUACCUUGCAUUUAGGGCUUGCAUCAUGCCAGUACCUUGAAACAAUUUCUCUGUCUAUAAAUUGUUUUAUGGAUGUUGUGCCAACAUGGUUAGCCAAAUUGCCGCAUCUCCAGUGGAUUUCCUUGGGUACUAAUAACCUUGUUGGCUCAAUCCCACCCGAGCUUAGCAAUCUCACCAACCUUAAUAUCCUGGAGCUCUCUCAUGCCAACCUGAAAGGGGAAAUCCCACCACAAGUAGGUCUAAUGCAAGAACUCUCGACUUUAAAUUUUGAAAAGAAUCAACUAAAAGGUACAAUUCCACCUUCCCUUGGCAACUUGUCCAAAUUGUCCUAUCUAUAUUUGGACAGAAAUCACUUUUCCGGCAAAGUACCCACAACACUUGGGAGAAUUGCAACUUUGAAAAGGCUUCUUCUAUCUAAGAAUAAAUUAGAGGGGAAUAUGGACUUCUUGCUUGCUCUCUCCAACUACCGACAACUCCAGGACCUUGUAAUAACGAAUAAUUAUUUCACGGGUACCCUUCCAGACCAUAUGGGAAACCUCUCUACACAGUUAAUCACUUUUCGUGCAAGUUACAAUAAGUUAACCGGUGGAAUUCCAGCUACUCUCUCAAAUUUAAGCAGUCUGAAUUGGAUAGAUCAUUCCAACAACCUACUAACGAAGGAAAUGCCAUACUCCAUCACUACAAUGGAAAACCUUGUGUUUCUCGAUAUCUCAAUGAAUGAAUUGUUAGGCACUAUCCCAAGUCAAAUUGGUACGUUCAAGAGUCUUGAGCGAUUGUUUUUGCAGAAAAAUAAAUUCUUUGGCUCUAUACCAAAUAGCAUUGGCAACCUUAGCAGGCUACAAUACAUUGACAUGUCCAAUAACCAGUUCAUUUCUGCACUACCUACAAGUGUAUUCCACCUAGAUGAACUUAUCAAAUUAAAUCUUUCUCACAAUUCCUUUGGUGGUGCGCUUCCAGAUGAUGUUAGCAUGCUAAGCCAAAUCGAUCAAAUAGACCUUUCUUCCAACUUCUUGGAUGGGAAGAUUCCUGGAUCAAUCGGGGAAUUUAAAAUGCUAACCUACCUCAAUCUAUCAUUUAAUUUGUUUGAAGGCCCAAUUCCAAACCAACUUAAUAAUCUAACUAGCUUAGAAUUAUUAGAUCUCUCCUCCAAUGAUCUUUCUGGCACCAUCCCCACUUUCUUUGCCAACUUUACAUACUUGAGUACCUUGAACCUCUCCUUCAAUAGGCUAGAUGGUCAGAUACCUAAGGGAGGUGUCUUCUUAAAUCUCACAUUGCAAUCUUUGAUUGGAAAUGUUGGGCUAUGCGGUGCUCCACGCAUAGGAUUUCCACCAUGCCUUGACAAAUCUCAUUCAAGCAACAAACACUUGUUGAAAUUUCAAAUCCUGAUUGUCAUUAUUACUUUUGGCGGUAUUGCAAUUUGCUUAUACCUAUGUAUCAAAAAAGAACUUAAGAAGCGAGAGGUCAAAGUUUAUGUCGAUCCAACCGAUGGCAUAUGCAAUAAGAUAGUGUCAUAUCAUGAGCUCCUUGGCGCCACCAACAGUUUCAGUGAAUAUAACAUACUUGGCUCUGGAAGCUUUGGAAAAGUUUUCAAGGGCCAAUUGAGCAGUGGUUUGGUGGUCGCAAUAAAAGUUCUGGACAUGCAACUGGAAAAGGCCAUCCGAAGUUUUGAUGCGGAGUGUCGAGUUCUUCGCAUGGUGCGACACCGCAACCUGAUACGAAUACUCAACACUUGUUCCAACCUCGACUUUAGAGCGCUUAUACUUCAGUACAUGCCAAAUGGCAGCUUAGAGACACUCAUACACCAGUCCGAGAAUACAACAUGUUUGGGGUUCCUUGAGAGGUUGGGCAUCUUGCUUGACGUGUCGAUGGCAAUGGCGUAUCUACAUCAUGAGCACCACGAGGUGAUCUUGCAUUGUGACUUGAAACCUAGCAACGUGUUGUUUGAUGAGGAUAUGAAUGUGCAUGUGGCGGACUUUGGCAUUGCGAGGCUGCUUCAAGGUGAUGACAACUCCAUGACAUAUGCGAGCAUGCCCGGAACAGUUGGGUAUAUGGCACCAGGUACUUAG